GUAUAAGAGGUCCUACCUGCCCAGUGACUCUGUUAAACGGCCGCGGUAUUUUGACCGUGCUAAGGUAGCGCAAUCACUUGUCUUUUAAAUGAAGACCUGUAUGAAUGGUGUAACGAGGGCUUAACUGUCUCCCUUCUCUAGUCAAUGAAAUUGAUCUACCCGUGCAGAAGCGGGUAUACAAAUACAAGACGAGAAGACCCUUUGGAGCUUAAGAUACUUAAGCCAAUCUGCAUAAAGAAUCUCUAAUAAAAGACUUAAAUAAAGCAACAACUGGCCAACAUCUUCGGUUGGGGCGACCGCGGGGGAAAAAAAAGCCCCCACGUGGACUGGGAAACUCCUAAAACCAAGAGACACAUCUCUAAGUCACAGAACAUCUGACCCACAGAUCCGGCUAAAACCCGAUCAACGAAACAAGUUACCCUAGGGAUAACAGCGCAAUCCCCUUCAAGAGUUCAUAUCGACAAGGGGGUUUACGACCUCGAUGUUGGAUCAGGACAUCCUAAUGGUGC
rnacentral:rRNA from 1 species